AGAUGCUCAUUGGGUGUAAAGCGUGCGCAGGCGGUUUUGUAAGACAGAGGUGAAAUCCCCGGGCUCAACCUGGGAACUGCCUUUGUGACUGCAAGGCUGGAGUGCGGCAGAGGGGGAUGGAAUUCCGCGUGUAGCAGUGAAAUGCGUAGAUAUGCGGAGGAACACCGAUGGCGAAGGCAAUCCCCUGGGCCUGCACUGACGCUCAUGCACGAAAGCGUGGGGAGCAAACA
rnacentral:rRNA from 1 species